UACGUAGGGGGCAAGCGUUGUCCGGAAUCAUUGGGCGUAAAGAGCGCGUAGGCGGUCCGGUAAGUCCGCUCUGAAAGUCCGGGGCUCAACCCCGGGAGGCGGGCGGAUACUGUCGGGCUAGAGUCCGGAAGAGGCGAGUGGAAUUCCUGGUGUAGCGGUGAAAUGCGCAGAUAUCAGGAGGAACACCGGUGGCGAAGGCGGGUCUCUGGGCCGAUACUGACGCUGAGGAGCGAAAGCGUGGGGAGCAAACAGG
rnacentral:rRNA from 1 species